rnacentral:rRNA from 1 species
CGGACGGGUGAGUAACGCGUGGGGAACCUGCCAUGUACCGGGGGAUAGCAGCCGGAAACGGCUGAUAAUACCGCAUAAGCGCACGAAUGUCGCAUGACAUGGUGUGAAAAACUCCGGUGGUAUAGGAUGGACCCGCGUCUGAUUAGCCGGUUGGUGGGGUAAAAGCCUACCAAAGCGAAGAUCAGUAGCCGAGUUGAGAGACUGACCGGCCACAUUGGGACUGAGACACGGCCCAGACUCCUACGGGAGGCAGCAGCC